AUAAGCGGAAGAAAAUGGAUGGAUGGAUGGAUGAAGAAUUUGGCGAGGAUCAGCAGAUUGUUAAGAAUGAGCGUGGAUGUUCCGGGUCCGCCUUGGGGAUGAAAUGAUGAGUUAAAGGUCAGUUUAAGUAACAGGUUGAGGGAUGGAGCUCAGAAUAAUACGUGUGCCCACAUCGCCAUCUUGCCGGAAGUCCAGCUGAACCAGCUAAUGUGUUCAAGAGCAGUGAUGCAGAAAAUAAAAGUUCUUCCAGUAACUGGGUCCAUCAGCGCCGCCCGGCUCCUCCUCAUCCCCACCAACUCGCAACACAAAGCUUCACCCUUGCUUCAGCCUCCCAAACAUCGUCCGUUUCCGUCUCUCCACGUUUCUGAAGAACCUCAUUUACGCCAUAUUUUCUAAGUUUUAUUAUUUAUGUUUUAUUGUUUGUUUGAUCUUCAAAACCCAGAACCAGAGGCUGAAACCUGACUUUAUUUAUCCGUCACUUUAAAACAUUUGGUGUGCAGACAAACUAUCUUAUUCACUAAAACAACAAAGUCAAACUAUUGCAAGAAUAAUUUGAAAAUAAAUUCAUAUUUGUAGAACCUUGGAAAUGUUGAGUUGCAAAAUGUUUUAGUUAAAAGUUGUGAAACUGCAGAAGGUUAAAGAUUGGCGACGCCGACCGACUAAAACUCUCGGCUCUUCAGAGGAAACGGUUUCUCGGCUGUUUUCUUUCGGUUCUCAGUUCCUCCGGCUGCUGGCAGCCAUCAGACGUUAAAACCAUUAAAACCAGCUCCAGUUCCCAACAGCUAAGUGCUACCUUCAUGUUUCCUCAGCUGAAUGUGUCAGUGUUUCCCUCCCGCUGUUCGGAGCAAACAUGGAUCCUUUUUAUUUAAAUGAAACUGCUGUUCACAGCUGCACUGCAAAAACAAAUCAUUAGCAGGACUUUUUAGUGGAGCAAAUAUCUGAGUUCACUUAAACAAGACAAAACGAACCGACAAGAAACAUAAAGCAGCUGGAUUCAAGUCAAAAACUCCUCAGUAUUCAUGAGACGUUCCAUGGAAAAAAU